rnacentral:tRNA from 1 species
GGGUUUAUAGCUCAGUUGGUUAGAGCACCCCGCUGAUAACGGGGAGGUCAGUCGUUCGAGUCGACUUAGACCCACCA